rnacentral:rRNA from 1 species
UACGAAGGGGGCAAGCGUUGUUCGGAAUUACUGGGCGUAAAGAGCUCGUAGGCGGUUUCGUAAGUCGGAUGUGAAAACUCCAGCUCAACUUGGAGACGCCAUUCGAUACUGCGAUGACUUGAGUCCGGUAGGGGAGUGCGGAAUUCCUGGUGUAGCGGUGAAAUGCGCAGAUAUCAGGAGGAACACCGGCGGCGAAGGCGGCACUCUGGGCCGGUACUGACGCUGAGGAGCGAAAGCGUGGGUAGCAAACAGG